UCUGGGGGGUAAAAAGGCAAAAUCACCAGAUUUAGGUUCUGGCGCCGCAAGGCGUGGGGGUUCGAGUCCCUUCACCCGCACCA
rnacentral:tRNA from 1 species